rnacentral:rRNA from 1 species
CACGGGGGGAGCAAGCGUUGUUCGGAAUCACUGGGCGUAAAGGGUGUCUAGGCGGUCAGGUAAGUGAGAUGUGAAAUGCCCCGGCUUACCCGGGGACCUGCAUCUCAUACUGCCUGGCUUGAGUAUGGGAGAGGAUGAGGGAAUUCCUGGUGUAGCGGUGAAAUGCGUAGAUAUCAGGAGGAACACCGGUGGCGAAAGCGAGUCCCUGGACAACACCUGACACUGAGGCACGAAAGCUAGGGGAGCAAACAGG